rnacentral:lncRNA from 1 species
AGCAUUUUUACCUGGCGUGCAAAAUAAAAGCACACUCCGAGUCUUUUAAUUAAAGCCGUCUACUGAAGGCAUGUGCGACUCGUCCUCGUCAGCGGGUGAAAGAAACACUUCCAGCCAUAGCGGCUGCUGUUCUGAGGAGACGGAGAGAAGAAGGGAUUUAAAAAACUGUUCUAGGUCGAGCUCUCCCACUAACAAAGACUCUGAGUCUCUCCCAGCAGGAUGUUCUGAAGAGAGAACUGGAGACAUAUAUGCUUCAGACUCUUCUAGGUCGAGCUCUCCCACUAACAAAGACUCAGAGUCUCUCCCAGCAGGAUGUCCUGGAAAGAGAACUGGAGACGUAUACGCUUCAUACUCUUCUAGAUCAAGCUCUCCUUCUAUCAAAGACUCAGAGUCUCUCCCAGCUGGAGUGGGAACUGGGGAUGGAUAUGCUUCAGGUAAGAUCUGUAAGGAGAUCAGCUCCAGUAGGUCUGAGAGCAGCAGUGUGGAGGUCAGAUGCAGACCUCAGGUCAGAUAUAAGACCAGCGCUCAGCUGAUUAAGAAGAAGCUGGACCAGAUCAAAGCUGAGCUGCAGAAACUUUCAGAGCAGCACCUGCGUCUGCGUCCAGAACGGAAGGCGUAUCAUCCUUUUGUGUGGAACAGCCUGAGUCCGUACAGAGACACGGCCCAGAUCGACUAUCUGCUCGCCGGGGCUUCUGACCCCCGCGCCCCUGAUGGAGGACCCUUAAUGAGGUCAGGAAGCGCCCGCCUGUAGAUCUGACCCGACCUGUCAGUCUGUGCCGGUGUGAAAAAUGACUCGCAUGUAUGAUUUUCACUUUAAUAAGCAUAAAGUUGGAGCGUAGCAUGGUUAAUGACUUCGUUUUAUGGGAAUCAGCCCACAGAACUGCUCUAUACUCCACCCACAGAAAUGACUAUAUUAUAUUACACUCUUCUGGCACCAUGCUCCCACUGCCCUGCUAAAAUUCACUCCAUAGUGUUGCUUAUUCUUGCAGUGAGAACAGCAAACAUGAAAUCCUCUUUAAAUUAAGUUUAAGUAUCUGAAAUUUAUUUUUAUACAUUGCUCUCAGGAUUUUAUAAAAACAUUUGACUGAUUUUUAAUUAAGUAAUUGGAUCUACUGAACAUUUCUCCUUCCAUUUUUUAGGUAUUCUAGCUUAUUUUAAGCAUUAUUUCUUGAGAAAACUUUAGUUAUCAUCAUUUCCUCAAUUAAUCAAAAUGAUGUGUCAAUAGAAUUAAAU